GCGGGUGUGGUUAAGUGGUAUAAUGCGACCUUCCCAAGGUUGAGUCACGGGUCCGAUUCCCGUCACCCGCU
rnacentral:tRNA from 1 species